rnacentral:rRNA from 1 species
UUAGAGUUUGAUUCCGGGUCCAGGAUGAACGCCGGCCGUGUGCCUUAAUACAUCAAGUUUUUAGCCACUGGCCCAACUGAUUGAUGGUGCUUGCACCCGAAUUGACGAUGGAUCACCAGUGAGUGGCGGGACGGGUGAGUAACACGUAGGUAACCUGCCCCCGGAGCGGGGGAUAACAUUUGGAAACAGAUGCUAAUACCGCAUAACAACAAAAGCCACAUGGAUUUUGUUUGAAAGAUGGCUUUGGCUAUCACUCUGGGAUGGACCUGCGGUGCAUUAGCUAGUUGGUAAGGUAACGGCUUACCAAGGCGAUGAUGCAUAGCCGAGUUGAGAGACUGAUCGGCCACAAUGGAACUGAGACACGGUCCAUACUCCUACGGGAGGCAGCAGUAGGGAAUCUUCCACAAUGGGCGCAAGCCUGAUGGAGCAACACCGCGUGAGUGAAGAAGGGUUUCGGCUCGUAAAGCUCUGUUGUUGGAGAAGAACGUGCGUGAGAGUAACUGUUCACGCAGUGACGGUAUCCAACCAGAAAGUCACGGCUAACUACGUGCCAGCAGCCGCGGUAAUACGUAGGUGGCAAGCGUUAUCCGGAUUUAUUGGGCGUAAAGCGAGCGCAGGCGGUUGCUUAGGUCUGAUGUGAAAGCCUUCGGCUUAACCGAAGAAGUGCAUCGGAAACCGGGCAACUUGAGUGCAGAAGAGGACAGUGGAACUCCAUGUGUAGCGGUGGAAUGCGUAGAUAUAUGGAAGAACACCAGUGGCGAAGGCGGCUGUCUGGUCUGCAACUGACGCUGAGGCUCGAAAGCAUGGGUAGCGAACAGGAUUAGAUACCCUGGUAGUCCAUGCCGUAAACGAUGAGUGCUAGGUGUUGGAGGGUUUCCGCCCUUCAGUGCCGGAGCUAACGCAUAANGCACUCCGCCUGG